rfam:Pseudomonas taeanensis MS-3 contig_09, whole genome shotgun sequence.
UCGUGCGUCGCUGCUGGCCUUGGGCCGCAGCGGCGAGCUUCGCCUCGUUCAGGACGGACGGCGCGGAGCCUCACUAGAAAAAAGGAA